AUCAACUUUCGAUGGUAGGAUAGAGGCCUACCAUGGUGGUAACGGGUAACGGGGUGUUAGGGCACGACACCGGAGAGGGAGCCUGAGAAACGGCUACCACAUCCAAGGAUGGCAGCAGGCGCGCAAAUUACCCAAUCCCGACACGGGGAGGUAGUGACAAUAAAUAACAAUACGGGGCUCUUUCGGAUCUCGUAAUUGGAAUGAGUACAAUUUAAAUCUCUUAACGAGGAACAAUUGGAGGGCAAGUCUGGUGCCAGCAGCCGCGGUAAUUCCAGCUCCAAUAGCGUAUAUUAAAGUUGUUGCAGUUAAAAAGCUCGUAGUUGAAUUUCGGAAUUUGUCAGUUGGUCGGGCUUCACUGUUCGUACUGGCUUGAUGGAUUCUUACCUUCUGAAUAACCAGCAUGCUAUUAAGUUAGUGCGUUGGGGAAGCAGAUCUAUUACCUUGAAAAAAUUAGAGUGCUUAAAGCGGGCUUGUGCUUGAAUAGAUUAGCAUGGAAUAAUAAAAUAGGACGGCAUGGUUCUAUUUUGUUGGUUUCUAGGAUCACCGUAAUGAUUAAUAGGGAUAGUUGGGGGCAUUAGUAUUCAAUUGUCAGAGGUGAAAUUCUUGGAUUUAUUGAAGACUAACUUCUGCGAAAGCAUUUGCCAAGGAUGUUUUCAUUAAUCAAGAACGAAAGUUAGGGGAUCGAAGACGAUCAGAUACCGUCGUAGUCUUAACCAUAAACUAUGCCGACUAGGAAUCGGACGAUGUUAAUUUUAUAAUGACUCGUUCGGCACCUUACGGGAAACCAAAGUGUUUGGGUUC
rnacentral:rRNA from 1 species